UUCUGAUAUUCCAGAUUACCAUUGGUUUAGUGAGAAUAAAGCUCUUUCUGAUUACAGAAGGACUUCUACAUUGCGGUUUUGUCUCUGACUUCAUCAUGAGGUUUCUGGUUUCACAGCCUCUGCUGGUGUUCAUAUCAGUCCUGUCACUGACCAGAACACAAUCAACAUCUGCACCAAUAACAUUAUCAACAGAAGGCAUUACAACAACACCUGAACCAAACACAACAACACUGGCAGAAACCACUACAGAAACUACAUCAGUCACACCAGGUAAUAAAACUGCAAGUGAUUUAAAAAAUCAUCAUACGGUUAUGCUGCAUUUUUUGUUUGGUUUAAUUUUUUCUAAUGUAGUUUACAGAAGUUUGUUAUAAUUUUAUGCUCUUUUUCUUUAAUAGAAACUACAACAACAACUGCUCCAACAACAACAUUGACAGGUACGUAUAGACCUUUGAAUUAGAACCAAAUGUGUUUUUAAAAAACGUCUCCCAUUAUGAACCAAAGAAAUUAGUGAGUAAUGAGCAUCGGCUAUCGGAGAGAUUUUUUUUUUUUUUUCAUUUUUUAAAAGGUAUUUAAUGGUGUUUGUAUUUGUGUUCAUUUUUUUUUUUUUUUCUAUUUUUUUAAAGGUAUUUAAUGGUGUUUGUAUUUGUGUUCAUUCUUCCAGAAACCUCUACAGAAACCACAUCAGUCACACCAGGUAAUAAAACUGCAAGUGAUUUAAACAAUCAUCUUAUGGCCUUGCAGGAUUAUUUUUUAUUUUUUUAUUUUAUUUUUUUGUUAAUGUAGUUUACAGAAGUUUGUUAUAAACAUAUUUUCUUUAAUAGAAACUACAGCAACAACUGCUCCAACAACAACAUUGACAGGUACGUAUAGACCUUAGAAUUAGAACCAAAUGUGUUUUUUAAAAAACGUCUCCCAUUAUGAACCCAAGAAAUUAGUGAGAAAUGAGCAUCGGAGAGAUAGUAUUUUAUUUUUUAUUUUUUUGCGCACUCAUCAAGUGAGUUCAUGAGGUAUUUAUUGGUGUUUGUAUUUGUGUUCAUUCUUCCAGAAACCUCUACAGAAACCACAUCAUUCACACCAGGUAAUAAAGCUGCAAGUGAUACUGCUAUGGAGCAUUUUGGAUUUAAUUUCUUUCGUAUGAUUUUACAGAAGCUUGUUGUAAUUUUAUGCUCGUAGUUUACAGAAGUUUGUUAUAAUUUUAUGCUCUUUUUCUUUAAUAGAAACUACAACAACAACUGCUCCAACAACAACAUUGACAGGUACGUAUAGACCUUUGAAUUAGAACCAAAUGUGUUUUUAAAAAACGUCUCCCAUUAUGAACCAAAGAAAUUAGUGAGUAAUGAGCAUCGGCUAUCGGAGAGAUUUUUUUUUUUUUUUUUCAUUUUUUUAAAGGUAUUUAAUGGUGUUUGUAUUUGUGUUCAUUCCUUCCACGAAACCUCUACACGUAACCACAUCAGUCACACCAGGUAAUAAAACUGCAAGUGAUUUAAACAAUCAUCUUAUGGCCUUGCAGGAUUAUUUUUUAUUUUUUUUAUUUUUAUUUUUUGUAAUGUAGUUUACAGAAGUUUGUUAUAAACAUAUUUUUCUUUAAUAGAAACUACAGCAACAACUGCUCCAACAACAACAUUGACAGGUACGUAACAGCCGCUGCAACAACAACUCCAUGGACAGGUAUUUAUCCACUUUUUAAUUGUUUUUGUCGGAACCAAUGUUCCCUCUAAGCUGCGCGCGCGCGCGGCCGCGCACUUCUUCCACCGCAGCCGCGCAGAAGAAAUAAUGUGCCGCGCACACGCAUAAAUGAGUUGGGAAAGCCAUUUGCGAAAGCGAAUGAAUUGCAAUGCUCGGAUAAACCGCUACAGAGUUGGUAUCACGAUAGAGUUAGAACCGGUGAAUGUGGUUAGUUUCAUAGAAAAGGAAUGUGCGGCAAAUGAAUCGCUGUAGAAACCGAAUAUUUUAAUGGUUGCGUACGAAAUAGCUCAAAUCGUGCGCCGACGCAAACGCAAUGACAUGAAAUAAAACGUCAUCAUGUAUUAAAAGAAGAGCGGCUUGAUUAAGUGCUGGAAACAGCGGAUGAUGGGCACAGAACGGUAACAAAACUCAGAGACAUUUACAGUCACACACAGGUGUAGUUUACAUAGCUAUAGAAGAAUUGACGGUCACGUUUUUUUUUUUAAAUAUUUAACUUACAGAUCUCAGUUUAAAAUGCUUCAGUUUCUGUUCUAUUCUAUCAGUUUAAAUGCUUCAGUUUCUAUUCUAUUGUAUUCUAUUCUAUCAGUUUAAAUGCUUCAGUUUCUAUUCUAUCAGUUUAAAUGCUUCAGUUUCUAUUCUAUUCUAUUCUAUUCUAUCAGUUUAAAUGCUUCAGUUUCUAUUCUGUUCUGUUCUAUUCUAUUCUAUUCUAUUCUAUUCUAUUCUAUCAGUUUGAAUACUUUUUUUUUCAGUUUGUUUGUAUAUAUUAUUGUUAGGCAUCAAGGAUGUAUUUAUUUUAUCGAAAAUACAGAAGAAAAAACAGUAAUAUUGUGAAACAUUAUUGCAAUUUCUAAUAUUGGUUUCCUGUUUUAAUAUACUUUAAAAUAUAAUUUAUUCCCGAGGAGCAAAGCUGAAUUUUCAGCAUCAUUACUCCAGCCUUCAGUGUCAUAUUAUCCUUCAGAAAUCAUUCUAAUAUGCUGAUUUACUAUCAGUGUUGAAUCUGUUGUAAUGCUUAAUAUUUUUACUUAUUUUUUGUUUUUUAUUUUUAUUUUUGGAACAUGUGAUACUUUUUUCUUUGAUUCUUAGAUUAAUAAAAAGUUAAAAAGAACAGCAUUUAUUCAAAAUAGAACUCUUUUCUAAAAAAUAUGUCUUUAUUAUCACUUUUUUAUCCUAUUUUAACACUAUUCUUACUGAAUAAAAGUAUAAAAAUAAGAAAAAAGAAAAAAAGAAAAAAAAUUACUAGACCACAAACUUUUUAGUAGUGUAUAUUGUAACACAAAAUUUCUAUUUUGAAUAAACACUGUCCUUUUUAACUUUUUAUUUAUCAAAGAAUCCCCAAAAAAAUCACAAGUCCCCAAAAAAUAUUAAGCAGCACAACAGUUUCCAGCACUGAUAAUAAAUCAGCAUAUUAGAAUGAUUUCUGAAGGAUCAUGUGACACUGAAGACAGGAGUAAUGAUGCUGAAAAUUGCUUUGCUUCAUAGGAAUAAAUUAUAUUUUAAAGUAUAUUAAAAUAGAAAACUUUUAUUUUAAAUUGCAAUAAUAUUUCACAGUAUUAUUUUGUGAAAUAAUAUUCAGUAAGUUUUAUCAGGUAAUCUAAAAUGGUACAUCAUUUAGUCACGGUCAAAUCAAAUACAAAUAGCACAUUAAAGUUAAAAGUUACACACUUUUUUGUGUGCGCGCU
rnacentral:lncRNA from 1 species